GACGAACGCUGGCGGCGUGCUUAACACAUGCAAGUCGAACGGAAAGGCCCGGCUUCCGGGGUACUCAGGUGGCAAACGGGUGGGUACCCCGUGGGGAAUUUGCCCUCCACUUCGGGUUAGCCCGGGAAACCGGGUUCUAUAACGGAUAAGAGCCAAUUUUUGUGGGGUGGUUUGGAAGUUUUUUUCGGUGUAGGAUGAGCUCGCGGCCUAUCAGCUUGUUGGUGGGGUAAUGGCCUACCAAGGCGGCGACGGGUAGCCGGCCUGAGAGGGUGGACGGCCACAUUGGGACUGAGAUACGGCCCAGACUCCUACGGGAGGCAGCAGUGGGGAAUAUUGCACAAUGGGCGCAAGCCUGAUGCAGCGACGCCGCGUGGGGGAGGACGGCCUUCGGGUUGUAAACUCCUUUCGCUAGGGACGAAGCUUUUUGUGACGGUACCUAGAUAAGAAGCACCGGCUAACUACGUG
rnacentral:rRNA from 1 species